rnacentral:rRNA from 1 species
UGGGGAAUAUUGGACAAUGGGCGAAAGCCUGAUCCAGCCAUGCCGCGUGUGUGAAGAAGGUCUUCGGAUUGUAAAGCACUUUAAGUUGGGAGGAAGGGCAGUAAGCGAAUACCUUGCUGUUUUGACGUUACCGACAGAAUAAGCACCGGCUAACUCUGUGCCAGCAGCCGCGGUAAUACAGAGGGUGCAAGCGUUAAUCGGAAUUACUGGGCGUAAAGCGCGCGUAGGUGGUUCGUUAAGUUGAAUGUGAAAGCCCCGGGCUCAACCUGGGAACUGCAUCCAAAACUGGCGAGCUGGAGUAGGGCAGAGGGUGGUGGAAUUUCCUGUGUAGCGGUGAAAUGCGUAGAUAAAGGAAGGAACACCAGUGGCGAAGGCGACCACCUGGGCUGAUACUGACACUGAGGUGCGAAAGCGUGGGGAGCAAACAGG